UUCUUACAAUAAAUACCACCAAAUUUAAAAUAGAUAACAAAAAGUAAAUAAUGCAAGCAUACAUAUUAUAUGACUCAGAGUCAUGCAUAUGAUAAAUAAAAGAAUUGAAUGAUGAUAAACUCAUAAAUGAAAUGGCUACUCGAGCCGUUUAACACCUUUAUUUAAACUUUGACAUACACUAGGAGGAGAGUUCCCAUGAUAAAUCAAUGUAGUGUUAUACUUUUUCAGCAUGUUUGAGAUGAUGUACCAGACCAAUAAAAAUCUAUCGUUUGGAGGUCAAAUGAGUCUUCUAAUGAGAUCCACUAACAUAACAUACUUUUUUUUUUUUUAAAAAAAAAGAUUUAAUAGUUCUUCUAAUGGAAUCUACUGGACAAUUUGGUGCUAUUAGUUGAUGUUAAGAUGGUGCUCCCGAGUCGGUAUAAAUUUUUUUUCCUAUUCGUCGCAUCACAUUGUUGUUGAGUUGUGUCCCACAUUCGCUAGUAAAGGGGAGAUGCUUGGGUUUAUAAGGUGGUAGGUCACUCCACCUAAAAGGCUAGUCUUUUGGGUUGGAUACCUAGAAAUCUUAUGCUAAGUCCCCCCAACAAGUGGUAUCACAGCUAGACCCUAGUAGCCAGAAUGUGGUAGUGGAACAACUCAGGUGUGUCAGACGAAAGGACCGAAGUUCGGUGGUGGUUUUGUCCCAGGGGAGGAUUGUUGAGUUGUGUCUCACAUUGGCUAGUAAAGGGGAGAUGCUUGGGUUUAUAAGGUGGUAGGUCACUCCACCUAAAAGGCUAGUCUUUUGGGUUGGAUACCUAGAAAUCUUAUGCUAAGUCCCCCAACAAUUGUCUACACUUGUAAGCUGUAAGCGAGGGGACCAUGAUCAAUCUCAUUUAAUUUGAAAUUGACAUAAUGAAAAACUUGGGUAAAGCAUUUGAGAAUAGCAAAAGGGCACGGAUUGUGUAUAAUUUUAGUAACAAAGAAGAAGAAGAAAAUUAAAUCCUAGUCCAUGUGGUCCAACGAAAUCGAAAUUUGGCCCAGCCCAAAAUUUUUGGUAAUGUCCCACACACUGGCUCACAAUCACAUACACAGAUAGAAUAGAAUAAAUUUAACAUCAAUUUUCUUUGUAAACCAAGUCAUAGACGCCGCGUCCAAAUAUCCUACCAAAAUGACUUUUGAGUCUUGAAUCUUUAGACGUGGAGUGGGUGGUUGUUAUUUUUAUCAAGUGCCAUUUCACAAUGUCAUCAAUUUUAGAAAAAUUUCGAUAUAAGAAUAGAGUUAUAGAACACUUUCUUGUUUGAAUACUGAUGUUUUGUUACGAUCAUAAAUCUACUAUAAGUCUGGAUUAUAUUAUUUUUGAAAAAUAUAAUUCUCAUAAAUAAGAUAUCUAAUUCGUCUAAACUCACCUCUAAUUAUCUAUUCUUUAAAGAUUGUACCUUACGAAUUAUGUAAGAUAUUCAAGUCCUAUUAGUAAUACCACACUUCACCAAAAUUAAGAUCUAGCAUUUAUUUCAUAAUAUAUGUACAACAAAAAAUAAUUAGUAUGGUUUGUAUCACUAAUUAGUUAAUAUAAUAUUGAUCACAAACCAAAAAUAUAAAUACUACACUAAAAUAUUCUAAAAUAUUUUGUGUUAAUCUAGUAUUAACCAUUAUAAAUAUCCAACAUAUGUAAUAUAAAUGAUUAUGUUAGUCCACAAAAUAUGAAAGAAAGCGGAUCAGGAUUUUUUAAAAUAUUUCUCAUCUCAAAGGCAUCUCCCAAUUUUAAUGUGAAAGGGUUAGUCCCAAGAUUGUUUGAUAUCUAUCGAUAUCGAUUAUGACCUUUUAUAUAACAUGUUAAUAAAUUUAAGUUGUAAAAUCAAACUACAAAUGUAAUGCGAAUAAUUAAUUAUAUUUUGGUCCCACCGUUUGGCUAUAAAAACAAAACAUCAUAAUUUAUAAAUUCUUAUUACGUUUUAUUAAAAAAGAAAAAAAAAACUUGUGAAACAAAUUAGACUUCAUUAACCCCCUUGAUUAUUUUUCCAACUCACAAAAAAAAAUACACUUGUAUGUAUAUUAAAAAAAAAAAAGAAAAAAGAAAACAAAAAAAAAAAACACAGAUGUUUUUGCCGACAAGGACAAACGUAGCUAGAUUGGUCAUAAGCUAGAGCAGCUACAGAGUCAAAAAGCUCACAAGACAUU
rnacentral:lncRNA from 1 species